rnacentral:rRNA from 1 species
UGGGGAAUAUUGGACAAUGGGCGCAAGCCUGAUCCAGCCAUGCCGCGUGAGUGAUGAAGGCCCUAGGGUUGUAAAGCUCUUUCACCGGUGAAGAUAAUGACGGUAACCGGAGAAGAAGCCCCGGCUAACUUCGUGCCAGCAGCCGCGGUAAUACGAAGGGGGCUAGCGUUGUUCGGAUUUACUGGGCGUAAAGCGCACGUAGGCGGACUAUUAAGUCAGGGGUGAAAUCCCGGGGCUCAACCCCGGAACUGCCUUUGAUACUGGUAGUCUUGAGUUCGAGAGAGGUGAGUGGAAUUCCGAGUGUUGAGGUGAAAUUCGUAGAUAUUCGGAGGAACACCAGUGGCGAAGGCGGCUCACUGGCUCGAUACUGACGCUGAGGUGCGAAAGCGUGGGGAGCAAACAGG